rnacentral:tRNA from 1 species
AUCUAUGUAUUCUAAAAUAAGAGCUGGAUUCUUACUUCAGUAAUGUGUUGUUUCACCAUAGGUU